AGUGAACGCUGGCGGUAGGCCUAACACAUGCAAGUCGAACGUCAGCACAGUAAGAGCUUGCUCUUACGGGUGGCGGGUGGCGGACGGGUGAGGAAUACAUCGGAAUCUACUUUUUCGUGGGGGAUAACGUAGGGAAACUUACGCUAAUACCGCAUACGACCUACGGGUGAAAGCAGGGGAUCUUCGGACCUUGCGCGAUUGAAUGAGCCGAUGUCGGAUUAGCUAGUUGGCGGGGUAAAGGCCCACCAAGGCGACGAUCCGUAGCUGGUCUGAGAGGAUGAUCAGCCACACUGGAACUGAGACACGGUCCAGACUCCUACGGGAGGCAGCAGUGGGGAAUAUUGGACAAUGGGCGCAAGCCUGAUCCAGCCAUACCGCGUGGGUGAAGAAGGCCUUCGGGUUGUAAAGCCCUUUUGUUGGGAAAGAAAAGCAGCAGGUUAAUACCCCGCUGUUCUGACGGUACCCAAAGAAUAAGCACCGGCUAACUUCGUG
rnacentral:rRNA from 1 species